CACGCCGUAAACGCUGAUUACUAGGUGUAGGGGGUAUAGACUCCCUCUGUGCCGCAGUUAACGCAUUAAGUAAUCCACCUGGGGAGUACGGCCGCAAGGUUAAAACUCAAAGGAAUUGACGGGGGCCCGCACAAGCAGUGGAGUAUGUGGUUUAAUUCGAAGCAACGCGAAGAACCUUACCAAGGCUUGACAUCCUCUGACCGCUGUAGAAAUACAGCUUCUCUUCGGAGCAGAGAGACAGGUGG
rnacentral:rRNA from 1 species